AGCCAGCCCGUGCCAGCCCCAGCCCAACCACCAGCACUACCACCAGCAUCCCCAGGGCCCGCGCCACACCUGCCAUCACCUUGCCUUGAUUGCUUUGCUGUUCACGUAUACUUCCCGAAUCACAUACGGGACGGGACAACCAGCAGCAGGUCCUUAUCAGUCCCCUAAUUCUUCCUUUACUUCUAUUUGAGGUUAUAAUGACACCUUCUGCUACUUCUUAAUGCGUAUGUGAUCUUCCUGGGGUGUCUUGAAUAAACAUACGGGACAGGGGGCAACCAGCAGCAGGUCCUUAUCAGUCCCCUAAUUCUUCCUUUACUUCUAUUUGAGGUUAUAAUGACACCUUCUGCUUCUUCUUAAUGUCCAUGUGAUCUUCCUGGGGUGUCUUGAAUAAACAUACGGGACAGGGGGCAACCAGCAGCAGGUCCUUAUCAGUCCCCCAAAUACUUCCUU